UAAUACGUAGGUGGCAAGCGUUGUCCGGAUUUACUGGGCGUAAAGGGCGUGCAGGUGGCUCAUCAAGUCUGGGGUGAAAUCUCCCGGCUCAACCGGGAGGGGUCUCAGGAUACUGAUGGGCUAGAGGGAAGCAGAGGAGAGCGGAAUUCCCGGUGUAGCGGUGAUAUGCGUAGAUAUCGGGAGGAACACCAGUGGCGAAGGCGGCUCUCUGGGCUUUUCCUGACGCUGAGGCGCGAAAGCGUGGGGAGCAAACCGGAUUAGAUACCCGGGUAGUCCACGCCGUAAACGUUGGACACUAGGUGUGGGGGGUAUUGACCCCCUCCGUGCCGCAGCUAACGCAUUAAGUGUCCCGCCUGGGGAGUACGACCGCAAGGUUA
rnacentral:rRNA from 1 species